rnacentral:rRNA from 12 species
GAUUAAGUUAUUAAGGGCGCACGGUGGAUGCCUUGGCACUAGAAGCCGAUGAAGGACGUUACUAACGACGAUAUGCUUUGGGGAGCUGUAAGUAAGCUUUGAUCCAGAGAUUUCCGAAUGGGGAAACCCAGCAUGAGUUAUGUCAUGUUAUCGAUAUGUGAAUACAUAGCAUAUCAGAAGGCACACCCGGAGAACUGAAACAUCUUAGUACCCGGAGGAAGAGAAAGAAAAUUCGAUUCCCUUAGUAGCGGCGAGCGAAACGGGAAGAGCCCAAACCAACAAGCUUGCUUGUUGGGGUUGUAGGACACUCUAUACGGAGUUACAAAGGACGACAUUAGACGAAUCAUCUGGAAAGAUGAAUCAAAGAAGGUAAUAAUCCUGUAGUCGAAAAUGUUGUCUCUCUUGAGUGGAUCCUGAGUACGACGGAGCACGUGAAAUUCCGUCGGAAUCUGGGAGGACCAUCUCCUAAGGCUAAAUACUCUCUAGUGACCGAUAGUGAACCAGUACCGUGAGGGAAAGGUGAAAAGCACCCCGGAAGGGGAGUGAAAUAGAACCUGAAACCGUGUGCUUACAAGUAGUCAGAGCCCGUUAAUGGGUGAUGGCGUGCCUUUUGUAGAAUGAACCGGCGAGUUACGAUUUGAUGCAAGGUUAAGCAGUAAAUGUGGAGCCGUAGCGAAAGCGAGUCUGAAUAGGGCGUUUAGUAUUUGGUCGUAGACCCGAAACCAGGUGAUCUACCCUUGGUCAGGUUGAAGUUCAGGUAACACUGAAUGGAGGACCGAACCGACUUACGUUGAAAAGUGAGCGGAUGAACUGAGGGUAGCGGAGAAAUUCCAAUCGAACCUGGAGAUAGCUGGUUCUCUCCGAAAUAGCUUUAGGGCUAGCCUCAAGUGAUGAUUAUUGGAGGUAGAGCACUGUUUGGACGAGGGGCCCCUCUCGGGUUACCGAAUUCAGACAAACUCCGAAUGCCAAUUAAUUUAACUUGGGAGUCAGAACAUGGGUGAUAAGGUCCGUGUUCGAAAGGGAAACAGCCCAGACCACCAGCUAAGGUCCCAAAAUAUAUGUUAAGUGGAAAAGGAUGUGGCGUUGCCCAGACAACUAGGAUGUUGGCUUAGAAGCAGCCAUCAUUUAAAGAGUGCGUAAUAGCUCACUAGUCGAGUGACACUGCGCCGAAAAUGUACCGGGGCUAAACAUAUUACCGAAGCUGUGGAUUGUCCUUUGGACAAUGGUAGGAGAGCGUUCUAAGGGCGUUGAAGCAUGAUCGUAAGGACAUGUGGAGCGCUUAGAAGUGAGAAUGCCGGUGUGAGUAGCGAAAGACGGGUGAGAAUCCCGUCCACCGAUUGACUAAGGUUUCCAGAGGAAGGCUCGUCCGCUCUGGGUUAGUCGGGUCCUAAGCUGAGGCCGACAGGCGUAGGCGAUGGAUAACAGGUUGAUAUUCCUGUACCACCUAUAAUCGUUUUAAUCGAUGGGGGGACGCAGUAGGAUAGGCGAAGCGUGCGAUUGGAUUGCACGUCUAAGCAGUAAGGCUGAGUAUUAGGCAAAUCCGGUACUCGUUAAGGCUGAGCUGUGAUGGGGAGAAGACAUUGAGUCUUCGAGUCGUUGAUUUCACACUGCCGAGAAAAGCCUCUAGAUAGAAAAUAGGUGCCCGUACCGCAAACCGACACAGGUAGUCAAGAUGAGAAUUCUAAGGUGAGCGAGCGAACUCUCGUUAAGGAACUCGGCAAAAUGACCCCGUAACUUCGGGAGAAGGGGUGCUCUUUAGGGUUAACGCCCAGAAGAGCCGCAGUGAAUAGGCCCAAGCGACUGUUUAUCAAAAACACAGGUCUCUGCUAAACCGUAAGGUGAUGUAUAGGGGCUGACGCCUGCCCGGUGCUGGAAGGUUAAGAGGAGUGGUUAGCUUCUGCGAAGCUACGAAUCGAAGCCCCAGUAAACGGCGGCCGUAACUAUAACGGUCCUAAGGUAGCGAAAUUCCUUGUCGGGUAAGUUCCGACCCGCACGAAAGGCGUAACGAUUUGGGCACUGUCUCAACGAGAGACUCGGUGAAAUCAUAGUACCUGUGAAGAUGCAGGUUACCCGCGACAGGACGGAAAGACCCCGUGGAGCUUUACUGUAGCCUGAUAUUGAAAUUCGGCACAGCUUGUACAGGAUAGGUAGGAGCCUUUGAAACGUGAGCGCUAGCUUACGUGGAGGCGCUGGUGGGAUACUACCCUAGCUGUGUUGGCUUUCUAACCCGCACCACUUAUCGUGGUGGGAGACAGUGUCAGGCGGGCAGUUUGACUGGGGCGGUCGCCUCCUAAAAGGUAACGGAGGCGCUCAAAGGUUCCCUCAGAAUGGUUGGAAAUCAUUCAUAGAGUGUAAAGGCAUAAGGGAGCUUGACUGCGAGACCUACAAGUCGAGCAGGGUCGAAAGACGGACUUAGUGAUCCGGUGGUUCCGCAUGGAAGGGCCAUCGCUCAACGGAUAAAAGCUACCCCGGGGAUAACAGGCUUAUCUCCCCCAAGAGUUCACAUCGACGGGGAGGUUUGGCACCUCGAUGUCGGCUCAUCGCAUCCUGGGGCUGUAGUCGGUCCCAAGGGUUGGGCUGUUCGCCCAUUAAAGCGGUACGCGAGCUGGGUUCAGAACGUCGUGAGACAGUUCGGUCCCUAUCCGUCGUGGGCGUAGGAAAUUUGAGAGGAGCUGUCCUUAGUACGAGAGGACCGGGAUGGACAUACCUCUGGUGUACCAGUUGUCGUGCCAACGGCAUAGCUGGGUAGCUAUGUGUGGACGGGAUAAGUGCUGAAAGCAUCUAAGCAUGAAGCCCCCCUCAAGAUGAGAUUUCCCAACUUCGGUUAUAAGAUCCCUCAAAGAUGAUGAGGUUAAUAGGUUCGAGGUGGAAGCAUGGUGACAUGUGGAGCUGACGAAUACUAAUCGAUCGAAGACUUAAUCAA